rnacentral:rRNA from 1 species
AUUGAACGCUGGCGGCAGGCCUAACACAUGCAAGUCGAGCGGGGCGGCGUGCGGGCGAGUAAGGCCUAGGUAUCUGCCUGGUCGUGGGGGGUAGCGUCCGGAAACGGGCGCUAAUCCCGCAUACUAUCAGAUGAGCCUAGGUGGGAUUGGCUAGUUGAUGGGUUAAUGGCCGACCAAGGCGACGAUCCGUACCUGGUCUGAGAGGAUGAUCAGUCACACUGGAACGGAGACACGGUCCAGACUCCUACGGGAGGCAGCAGUGGGGAAUAUUGGACAAGGGGCGAAAGCCUGAUCCAGCCAUGCCGCGUGUGUGAAGAAGGUCUUCGGAUUGUAAAGCACUUUAAGUUGGGAGGCGUUACCAACAGAAUAAGCACCGGCUAACUUCGUGCCAGUAGCCGCGGUAAUAC